GUGUCAGCAGCCGCGGUAAGACGAACCGUGCGAACGUUGUUCGGAUUCACUGGGCUUAAAGGGCGCGUAGGCGGCUUGCCAAGUCAGGGGUGAAAUCUUUCGGCUCAACCGGAAAAGUGCCUUUGAUACUGGCGAGCUAGAGGGAGGUAGGGGUGCGUGGAACUUCUGGUGGAGCGGUGAAAUGCGUAGAUAUCAGAAGGAACGCCGGUGGCGAAAGCGACGCACUGGAUCUCUACUGACGCUGAGGCGCGAAAGCCAGGGGAGCGAACGGGAUUAGAUACCCCCGUAGUCC
rnacentral:rRNA from 1 species